GACGAAGGGGGCUAGCGUUGCUCGGAAUCACUGGGCGUAAAGCGCACGUAGGCGGCUGUUCAAGUCGGGGGUGAAAUCCUGUGGCUCAACCACAGAAUGGCCUUCGAUACUGGACGGCUAGAGACCGGAAGAGGUGAGUGGAACUGCGAGUGUAGAGGUGAAAUUCGUAGAUAUUCGCAAGAACACCAGUGGCGAAGGCGGCUCACUGGUCCGGUUCUGACGCUGAGGCGCGAAAGCGUGGGGAGCAAACAGG
rnacentral:rRNA from 1 species